UUUAUAAAUAAUAGGUAGUCCCUGCUCAGAGAGAAAUUAAAUAGCCGCAGUAUCUUGACUGUGCUAAGGUAGCAUAAUAAAUUGUUCUUUUAAUAGAAGGCUAGAAUGAAAGGGAUGACGGUGCUUUAGCUUUCUUGAUUCAACCAGUAGAAAUUGAUAUUUUCCUCAAAAAGUGAAACUUUUUAAAAAGACGACAAGACCCUGUAAAGCUUGAACUUUAAAAAAUGUGUUUAACCUGUUUUACCUCUCAUUUUAAAAGUUAAGCUGGGGCGGCAGAUUUUAGACUAAAUCAAAUUUUACACUAAUAUGUGUUUCAGAAAGACCUUUUUAUUAAAAUAGAAUAAGCUACUUUAGGGAUAACAGCACAAUUCCUCUGUAGAGGUCCUAUCGAUAGAGGAGACUUGUGACCUCGAUGUUGAAUUUGAGGGGCUCUCCUCAAGCAGAAAGGAGGAGAGAGGGGUCUGUUCGACCUUUAAUUCCUC
rnacentral:rRNA from 1 species